rnacentral:rRNA from 1 species
GUGUCAGCAGCCGCGGUAAUACGGAGGGGGCAAGCGUUGUCCGGACUUACUGGGCGUAAAGGGUGCGUAGGCGGCCUGCUGCGUCGGUGCUGAAAGCGCCCGGCUUAACCGGGCGAGGCGUGCCGAUACGAGCGGGCUGGAGCCUUGGCGAGGGUGGCGGAACUCCUGGUGUAGUGGUGAAAUGCGUAGAGAUCAGGAAGAACACCCGUGGCGCAAGCGGCCACCUGGCCAAGAGCUGACGCUGAGGCACGAGAGCGUGGGGAGCGAACCGGAUUAGAUACCCCGGUAGUCC